AUUGAACGCUGGCGGCAGGCCUAACACAUGCAAGUCGAGCGGAUGAAGGGAGCUUGCUCCUGGAUUCAGCGGCGGACGGGUGAGUAAUGCCUAGGAAUCUGCCUGGUAGUGGGGGAUAACGUCCGGAAACGGGCGCUAAUACCGCAUACGUCCUGAGGGAGAAAGUGGGGGAUCUUCGGACCUCACGCUAUCAGAUGAGCCUAGGUCGGAUUAGCUAGUUGGUGGGGUAAAGGCCUACCAAGGCGACGAUCCGUAACUGGUCUGAGAGGAUGAUCAGUCACACUGGAACUGAGACACGGUCCAGACUCCUACGGGGGGCAGCAGUGGGGAAUAUUGGACAAAGGGCGAAAGCCUGAUCCAGCCAUGCCGCGUGUGUGAAGAAGGUCUUCGGAUUGUAAAGCACUUUAAGUUGGGAGGAAGGGCAGUAAGUUAAUACCUUGCUGUUUUGACGUUACAAACAGAAUAAGCACCGGCUAACUUCGUG
rnacentral:rRNA from 1 species